UGUCAGAAAUAAUUUUUCUACGAACAAAAAGAGUUUAGUAUCUCAUUCCAACUUUUCAAAUCAACAGGCAAAUCAUAACUUUAUUUUACAACAGACAUGCUGAUUUAAUCUGUAAAUGCUCUAGACUCUGCUGUAGUUUGUUAAUAUCUGUUUAUGCAGGAUGAAGGCGUAAUUUCGCCCCAGUCAGUUCGUCCCCAAUUUUAAUGGAAUUGGUUAGAGAUCCGUUACUUAAUAUACAAUAAGUAACAUAUUUCACCAAGAUUCCUGUGAAUUUCACCAAGAUUCCUGUGACAGUCAGUUUUAUGAGUCAAGAUUACAACAAGAUCUCAUUUCUGCAUCUGGAAGAGUCUACUUCACCAAAGAUGUGUUUGAGCUUCUCUGUGAAUUGGGAAACCAUGCCUUCGUGUCUGCUCAGGCGUUUGCAGAGACAUACAGUUCUGUCUUCCACAACGAGCAUCCUCACAUGAAACAGUUCAUUGCAUGGCAAUGUCAUAUGAGACUCACAAGUACAAAUGGUAUAUUGCUAAUUGUAACAUUUGAUUUACCUAAAAGCAGUUAUUAUUAAAAAUAUGUGUAAACUUUAAUGCAUUUAUAUCAGACAAGUCACACACAAAUGUCAGACAGGGAAGUUCAAUAAAUAAUUUAUUACAUUAAAAAAAAUCUGAAAUUUGGGAAAAUAUAUCUCAGAUUAUUACAUGGCUUGAUUUGAUUUCCAGUUAAACAAAGAAGGAAAUUAAGCUCUGUAUAUUUAACAAAUAAUCAAGGCCUUCGAGUUGUUUAUCAUCUGAUUUACCAGGGUUCAGAGUUCGGAUGUGUAAGAAUUGAACCACGCGGGCAUUAGCCCGAGUGGUUAAAUACUGAAGCAUCUGAACGAUGAACCGUGGUAAAUCAGACGAUAAAUCAAAAGAAGGCCUUGAAUGUUUUCAUUCUGACAUGCUCAUUGAUAUAUUUUAAUAAAU
rnacentral:lncRNA from 1 species